rnacentral:rRNA from 1 species
AACGUAGGGGACAAGCGUUAUCCGGAUUUACUGGGCGUAAAGCGCCCGUAGGCGGCCUGACAAGUUGGAUGUGAAAGCUCCUGGCUUAACUGGGAGAGGUCAUUCAAAACUGACAGGCUAGAGGAUGGAAGAGGAGAGCGGAAUUCCCGGUGUAGUGGUGGAAUGCGUAGAGAUCGGGAGGAACACCAGUGGCGAAAGCGGCUCUCUGGUCCGUGCCUGACGCUGAGGGGCGAAAGCGUGGGGAGCGAACGGGAUUAGAAACCCCUGUAGUCC